AGUAAUUGACGAACACAACACACCACGUGGAGAGAAGCAAGGUGUGGAGUACCCAAGCCUCUCACAGUCCAUGCUAGUAGACUCACCCUGCAUGUGGAGAUCUCCCAAAAUGCACGGAGGUUAUUCCAGAGCUGCAGGACAGAGUACUUGAGGCCAUUGGUGAACAGAAAGCUGAGGUUGAACAAAGCCAAGAAUUGAUAGCUGCCCAAGGUGUAAGCAAGAUUCACAAUGAUGAGGUCAUUGUGACGUGUGCAAUGUGUCCACUGGUCUUGGCCUUCCUGACCAAGGCAGCCACACAAAGGAAAUUCCACGUUAUUGUUGCCGAACGUGCCCCUAAAUAUGAUGGUCACCCAGUGGCAAAAGCUUUAUGUACUGCUGGAAUUGAGACAACAUUAAUUCAAGACUCUGCAGUGUUCCCCAUCAUGUCACGUGUCAACAAGGUCAUCAAAGGUCAUCGUUGGCACCGAGACGGUGGUGACCAACGGAGGCAUUGAGACCUUUGUUGGUGCAGCCUCUCUUGCCUCACCACCAAAGUUUUAUUCUGUUCCACUGUAUGUGUGCACUCCCACAUACAAAUUUAGCUUGAUGGGCUGUGAAGAAAUAAGCCACCAAACCACCACUUCUAUUAUCCCAGAGGGAACAAAGUUUUGGCUGUCUCUAAAUACUGCGCUGACUCAGCUAGAUUACGUUCCUCCAGAAAAUGUCACCAGUUUGAUAAAUAACAAUCGAGGUACUGCACCAUCCUACGUGUACCGGCAGCUUAGCGAACUGUACCGUCCCACUUCUUGUGUAACAAGAAGGUAACAGCUUUAAUCCUUGCAAAUAAGGAAUAAGAGAAAAGAGACACACCUGCCAUUUGUACUGUUAUGCUGUAGUGUUCUGUCAUUUUUUUCCUCUUUUAUCCUAGAACCAUUUUUGGUCAUUCAUGUUUCUAAAAAUUAUUAUACAAAAAUGUUGAGCUUAAUAUGUUUGGUGUAGUUUUUUGUAACAUGUGUUAUUGUUAAUGUGUGUGGUUCCCCUCAGGAAGAAUGUUGCAGUAUUAGCAGUAAUGUUACAGCCAAUGGAAGUGUCUGUAUUGUGGUUUGGUGGGAGGUUAAUUUGAUGUAUUUUUAGAGUUGUGCAGGAUAUUAUAGCAAGCCCUCAAAAUAAAGAAAAUAACUAUAGAAAACA